AUCAUGCUGAGAUUAAAUCUCAGCCACUUAAACUCACCAAAAUAACUGCUACUCUAGCAGUUUAGGGCGGUUCAUUUAAGUUUUCAGCAGCUCCACUUUUUUUGCACAGGUUCCGGUAAACCUCCAUGUCUCCUUUUUUUCCUCCCCACGUUGUUGCAGGGCGUUUUCAUUGACAGUGGUGGGUGGUUAUUGAAGUUAAAUGACAGUAUUAAUGGUUUGCUUCACACAAUUGCCGUCGGUAAGCCUUUCUCCUCUACUCGUCGCCGCUGUUGUUUGAGUCUGACACCAGCGCCGCCUCCGUUCUACACCCUUUCGUUGCUUAACACACACUGACGCCACAAAAUUUCUGAAAUUGAUCACAAGGUAGCCUUCAUACACCCUUCCCCUUGUACACAUCUGGUAUAUACACAUACACAUAACAUAGCUUUCAUCAAUGGCUAUCUAAACCUUCAUUCAAUCACAUCCUGUUGCAGAUGUUUUACACCCCCACUUUCGUGCUCUUUCCUAAGUUGGUCGUCAGUCGCUUGCGGAAAUCCAUAUCGGCUUCGUCAAUCUUCUUGAUAAUGUAUAUAUUUUAUCUAAUAACUUCCACAUCUGCAAUCUAACACUGCAAAAUUGAUGAUUGAAGGGCUGAGAUUUAAUCCUCUGUUCCAGACUAAUCAAGUGCGUUUAUGAAGGAGGUUGAAAUUUUUCAUAAAGAGAGGAGUUUGGAGUUUAAGCCUCCAAAGUUUCAUGGAGAUUUAAUUUCUGGUGCAAAAGAGGGGUGAAUUAGAGGGACGUGUAACUUCCCUAAUUAGGGAGGUUAAAGAGUCGGGCCUACAAUAGUGGGAGCUGGUGACAGUGGCGGAACUAGAACAUCAAUUCAGGGGAAUUCCAAUUCAGCAGUUGAUUGUUUAUGAAAGAAUGCUAUUGGUGGGACUUGAUGAACGGUUAAAAGAACGAGUUUGCGGUCAAGAUGAAGCUGUGGAUGUGAGUGUGUGCUGACACAUACGCGUGAGAGAUCACCAUAUUGUGCCUUAAAACGCAAAGGGGUGGAGUGUUCCAAGGUUUUAGUGGAAAUCCCAACGUGUUGCCGCAAACAGUGGUUUACAGUGUCAUCAUCUACUCCGUGAUCGGGUUUGAGUGGAUCUUAAUUUAUUUACAGUUUUUUUUUUCUAAUUGUGUUAUUGCCCAUGUGUAAAUGUGUUAUAAAGGCUGCUCUUUUAGCUUCAACAAGUUCUACAUAUGGCUCAGAAAUUAGUCUAGAAUGUUGGGUAAUUGGUCAAAAUGCAUUUUGAGUCGAAGUGAGUCGUUUUGAUUAUACCUAUGUUGACACUUUUUUGAAAACACACCAAGAGCUAAAGUGUGACGUGAAGGAUUUGUACAUCAACUCUGCAAAGUUUAUUUCUUUGUUGACACUUGUAAACACACCAAAGACUUAUGUUGACACUUUUUCAUGCGAGUUCUUUUCUUUGUUUUUUUCUUAUGCUAAUCUUUAUUUUUGUGAUCUUUUUGUAGUUAACGUCAACCAAAGGUUGUUGUGGUGAACUUCUGAAACCCUAGGAACCGGAGCAAAGCAGGCAAUAUUGGCGUCAACCAAAGUUUUGUCGACGAAAGUAUUAUUUGUUAUUUGCAAUAGGAACAACCUUGUAGAUUUAAGUUGUCAUGUUUAAAUUAUAUUGAAGCCUUUUAAUUUAUUAAUUGCUGAAAGGGAUAGGUUAGAAUGUUUGAAGCAAGUUGAAUUUCAAACAGUUUUUGUGGUUUUUUUCUGUUU